UACGGGGGGGGCAAGCGUUGUUCGGAAUUACUGGGCGUAAAGGGCUCGUAGGCGGCCAACUAAGUCAGACGUGAAAUCCCUCGGCUUAACCGGGGAACUGCGUCUGAUACUGGAUGGCUUGAAUCCGGGAGAGGGAUGCGGAAUUCCAGGUGUAGCGGUGAAAUGCGUAGAGAUGUGGAGGAACACCGAUGGCGAAGGCAGCCUCCUGGGCCAGCACUGACGCUCAUGCACGAAAGCGUGGGGAGCAAACAGG
rnacentral:rRNA from 1 species